ensembl:rRNA 5S_rRNA 5S ribosomal RNA
GUCAGCAGCCAUAUCACCCUGCAACUCACAACUGGCAACCCACUGAAGCUAAGCAGGUGUGAGCCUGGUCCGUACCUGGAAGGGAGACCUCCUGGGAAAAACUAAGGUUGCUGCUGGAA